rnacentral:rRNA from 1 species
UACGUAGGGUGCGAGCGUUAAUCGGAAUUACUGGGCGUAAAGCGUGCGCAGGCGGUUCUGAAAGUCAGCUGUGAAAGCCCCGGGCUUAACCUGGGAAUGGCGGUUGAAACUACAGGACUAGAAUCUGGCAGAGGGGGGUGGAAUUCCACGUGUAGCAGUGAAAUGCGUAGAGAUGUGGAGGAACACCGAUGGCGAAGGCAGCCCCCUGGGCUGAGAUUGACGCUCAGGCACGAAAGCGUGGGGAGCAAAAGGG